rnacentral:tRNA from 6 species
GGGGCAUUGGCGCAGCUGGUAGCGCAUCUGCUUUGCAAGCAGAGGGUCGCCGGUUCGAACCCGGCAUGCUCCACAA